rnacentral:rRNA from 1 species
GAUUCCCUAUGGGGCGCAGCAGGCGCGCAAACUUUACAAUGCGAGCAAUCGUGAUAAGGAAACCCUGAGUGCCUGUCGAUGCAGGCUGUUCAUAUAUCUAAAUCAUAUGUGAAGAAAGGGCAGGGCAAGACCGGUGCCAGCCGCCGCGGUAAUACCGGCUGCUCGAGUGAUGGCCACUAUUACUGGGUUUAAAGCGUCCGUGGCUUGACUGUUAGGUCUCUUGGGAAAUCUUCACGCUCAACGUGAAGGCGUCUAAGAGAUACCGGCAGUCUUGGAACUGGGAGAGGUAAACCGUACUUCGGGGGUAGGAGUGAAAUCUUGUAAUCCUCGAGGGACGACCUAUGGCGAAGGCAGUUUACCAGAACAGCUUCGACAGUGAGGGACGAAAGCUGGGGGAGCAAACGGGAUUAGAUACCCCGGUAGUCCCAGCCGUAAACAAUGUGCGUUAGGUGUGUCGGUAACCACGUGUUACUGAUGCGCCGAAGAGAAAUCGUGAAACGCACCACCUGGGAAGUACGGUCGCAAGGCUGAAACUUAAAGGAAUUGGCGGGGGAGCACCACAACAGGUGGAGCCUGCGGUUUAAUUGGAUUCAACGCCGGACAUCUCACCGGAUAAGACAGCUGAAUGAUUGUCAAUCUGAAGGUUUUACAUGACUAGCUGAGAGGAGG